rnacentral:rRNA from 1 species
UACGGAGGGUGCUAGCGUUGUUCGGAAUCACUGGGCGUAAAGCGCGUGUAGGCGGCCCACUAAGUCUGAUGUGAAAGCCCGGGGCUCACCCCCGGAAGUGCAUUGGAAACUGGUGGACUCGAGUCCCGGAGAGGAGGGUGGAAUUCCGUGGUGUAGCGGUGAAAUGCGUAGAUAUCAGGAGGAACACCGGUGGCGAAGGCGGCCCUCUGGACGGUGACUGACGCUGAGACGCGAAAGCGUGGGGAGCAAACAGG